rnacentral:rRNA from 1 species
CCUGGUUGAUCCUGCCAGUAGCAUAUGCUUGUCUCAAGCAUCAAGCCACGAAUAUGUAAGUACACACGGCUGGUACAGUGAAACUGCAAAUGGCCCAUCAAGUAUGUAAUGGUUUGUUAGUUCACUCUAUAUGUUACUUGGAUAACUGAGGUAAUUGCACAGACAAUACAUGUCAAUGAGCGCUGACCUCCUGGGAUGCAUCAAUCAAUCAGACCAAUCAGGGCUCGCUUGGCUGCUAUUGUGACCCUAGACAACGUGGGGGCGAUUGCAUGUCCCUCAAAUGGUUAUUAUACAUUUGGAUUUCUGCACUAUCAACUUUCCAUUGUAGUGUCUGUCCUUACCAUGGUGACCAAGGUUAACAGGGAAUCAUGGUUUGAUACUAUAUAGGGAGCAAGAGAAACGGCUACCACAUCCAAGGAAGAAAGCAGAUGCAUACAUUAACGACUCCUGACUCAAGGGAUAUAGUGAUGGAAAAUAACAUUACAGGAAUCGUACAAGGCACAGUAAUUAGAAUGAGUGCACUUAAAAUCCAUUAAUAAGGUUCCAUCGGAGGGCAAGUUUGGUGUCAGUAUAUGCCAUAAUUCCAGCUACAGCAGCAUAUCUGAAAGUUGCUGCAGUUAAAAAUGCAUGUAGUUGGAUCUAUGGAUCAAGCUGGUGGCCUGCUGCAAAGUGAGCAACUGUUUGUCUCAGCCCCUGCCUCUCAGCACCCUCUUGAUGAACGUGCCUGAGUGUCCUGGGGUCCAAAGCAUUUCUUGACUAAAUCAGAGUGUUAGAGCAGGCCGGUCACCUGAAUUCCUCAGCCAGGAUUAAUUGAAUAUGAAUCCUAUUGUGUUGAUUGGUAGAAGUGUGGUCAUGAUGAAGAGGGACAGCUGGGGGCCUUUGUAAUGUGCCACUAGAGUUGCAACUCUUGGAAAGGAGCAAGACGAUCCAAAGUGAAUGCAUUUGCCAAUAAUGUCUUCAUCAAUCCAGAAUUAAAGUCUGUUGCUUGACGAUGAUCAGAUACCAUCAUAGGUCCGACAAUAAAUGGUACUGACUAGUUAUCUGGUGUGUCGUUAUUCUCAUUACCCUACAAGUGGCUUGCAGGAAAGCAUAGUCUCGGGGAUCGGGGUGAGUAUGGCUGCAAAGCAGAAACAUAAAGGAAUUGACAGAAGGUCACUAUCAGGAGUGGAACCAGCGGCUUGAAUUGACUCAACAUGGGAAACCUCAACUGGUUUGGGCAUGGAAAGGAUUGUCAGAUUGAUGGCUCUGUUUCCAUUCUGUGGGUGUAGUUGCAUACCCAGUCUUAGUUAAGUGGCGUGAUUUGUGUGGUCAAUUCUGAUAAUGAACGAGACUCCUCCAUGCCAACUAGUCAUGCGACCCCCAGUGGUUGGAGUUCAACUUCAGAGAGGGACAAGUGGUGUUCAGCCACACGAGAUCAAGCAAGAACAGGUCUGUGAUACACUUAGAUAUCUGUGAAUGCAAGUGUGCCACACUGAACGGAUCACUGUUUGUCUACCCUAUGCCAACCCAUGCAGGUAACCUGCUGAACCCUGUGUUUGAUAGAGAUUGGGAUAGCAAUCUAUUUGCAUGAAUGAGGAAAUCCCAGCAAGUGCAGGUCAUAAUCUUGCAUUGAUGAAGUUCAUGCACUUUGCACCUGCUAACUAUUUUCACUACUGAUUGGAUGAAUCAGUGAGGUCCUAGGAUUGGCCACCACAGUGGUGGUCCCUGGUGGUACACAGAGAAGAAGAUGUCUAUCUAGAGGGAGUGUAAGUCGUAACAAAGUUCUUGUAGGUGAAGCUGCAGAAG